rnacentral:rRNA from 1 species
GACGAACGCUGGCGGCGUGCUUAACACAUGCAAGUCGAACGGUGAAGCGAGUGCUUGCACUCGUGGAUCAGUGGCGAACGGGUGAGUAACACGUGAGUAACCUGCCCAUCACUCUGGGAUAAGCACUGGAAACGGUGUCUAAUACUGGAUACGACCAACCCUUGCAUGGGGUGUUGGUGGAAAGAUUUAUCGGUGAUGGAUGGACUCGCGGCCUAUCAGCUUGUUGGCGGGGUAAUGGCCCACCAAGGCGACGACGGGUAGCCGGCCUGAGAGGGUGACCGGCCACACUGGGACUGAGACACGGCCCAGACUCCUACGGGAGGCAGCAGUGGGGAAUAUUGCACAAUGGGCGAAAGCCUGAUGCAGCGACGCCGCGUGAGGGGUGACGGCCUUCGGGUUGUAAACCUCUUUCAGCAGGGAAGAAGCGAAAGUGACGGUACCUGCAGAAGAAGCACCGGCUAACUACGUG